UCAAAGUGGAUGGAUCUUUAGCCUACUCCUAAAGUGGGGACACUGUCCUAUCAGGAACUGGGAGCUGGUUCUAAACGCUCUGACUCCUGAUCUAGUUUUGCAUGCUCAGACCACAAUCAGACCUGCAGUGAGCUCUUUAAGCUGUCACUGAUACCACUGAUUGCUACACUCAACAACAACAGUCCUAAUUGAUGUCGAGUUCCAUCUGUGCACGACUCAGGAGAGCUGGGAUGUUAACAAGAACGUCAACACUCAAGCGACCCAAGUUCUCACGGCGUUAACAAGGCAUGAGUGGUGGCGGGGCCAAAGGUGGAAGCAACAACAAUAAACGCCCGUUCCAAAGAACCGACCUGUGUCUGUGUCGUCGUGGAGAGAGCUACAGGCAGAACUCGACUGCUCAUCACGGGUAGGAGAGAAGACGGCAGCGGUAACGGCGCAGCGGAGAUCCAGCAUAACGGGAGAGAAAGCCCAUAAGCCGUGUUUCAGUGCAGUGUCCUGCCUCAGGAGGGCGUGUGAGAGGGGAUAAGGUUGGACUGAGAAUAAGAGAAGAAACAUUCUGAUCAAUUCGAUUCAUGAGAUUGUUUAUUCCUCGAUUACCUGCAGGCCUGUGACAUGAAGA